UAUAAUGGAAGCCAUCAAUGAUUUUGCAAUAAUUGUGGCCAAUUGAUCAGAUGGUCAAGUCAUCACCAAGAUGGAAACAUGUUAUAUUUCCAUCAUUUAAUACAAUUGAUUCUCGUUAUUUGUGGAUUCUAUAUUCACAUAUUUAUCUAUUCACAAAAAUUUAUUUGCAACCACAAAAUCGAUUUCCACAGAGCUAUUGUAUUUUUUUGCAAACUGCCACUCAUUAGUGAAAAUACUAUUACCAAUGUAAACUCUCUCUCUCUCUCUAAUAAAGGAAAUUGUUUGUUACCAAACCUAUCUUUGUCACUUCACAGACCAUAGAUAGACCAAACGUCUGUUCAUAUCAUUUGUAGGUCCCAUAGAAGAGUGUGACCAUAUGCUUGAAUGCAACCUCAAAUUUCAUUUUCUGUGCAUUUGCUCUUUAUGCCAAGAUUUUAGAUCUAAAGCAAAAAGCAACACAGGACAAGAUUGAUGCAGUUUUUUGAUCACAAUUCAAAAAGACAACGUGUCACUCCCACAUCAAAUAUCCUACAACAUCAAACAACUACCCAUCAAAAAUAAGAUUUUAUUUACUACAUAGUUAGUAUUUUAAAAAAUUAAAUAAAGAUUACUGUGAUUAUAAUAUUGUAUAUAUUGCUGUACACUACAUACACUGCAACUAUUUGUAAGAACU
rnacentral:lncRNA from 1 species